CCUACGGGUGGCAGCAGUGAGGAAUAUUGGUCAAUGGACGAGAGUCUGAACCAGCCAAGUAGCGUGAAGGAUGACUGCCCUAUGGGUUGUAAACUUCUUUUAUAUGGGAAUAAAAUGUUCCACGUGUGGGAUUUUGUAUGUACCAUAUGAAUAAGGAUCGGCUAACUCCGUGCCAGCAGCCGCGGUACUACGGAGGAUUCGAGCGUUAUCCGGAUUUAUUGGGUUUAAAGGGUGCGUAGGUGGAUUGGUAAGUCAGUCGUGAAAGCUUGGGGCUCAACCGUAAGAUUGCAGUUGAAACUGGGAGACUUGAGUACAGGAGGGGUAGGCGGAAUUCGUGGUGUAGCGGUGAAAUGCUUAGAUAUCACGAAGAACUCCGAUCGCGAAGGCAGUGCACUGGACUGAAACUGACGCUGAGGCUCGAAAGUGUGGGUAUCAAACAGGAUUAGAUACCCCGGUAGUC
rnacentral:rRNA from 1 species